UACGUAGGGUGCAAGCGUUGUCCGGAAUUAUUGGGCGUAAAGAGCUCGUAGGCGGUCUGUCGCGUCUGCUGUGAAAACCUAGGGCUUAACUCUGGGCGUGCAGUGGGUACGGGCAGGCUAGAGUGCGGUAGGGGAGACUGGAAUUCCUGGUGUAGCGGUGAAAUGCGCAGAUAUCAGGGAGGAACACCGGGUGGCGAAGGCGGGUCUCUGGGC
rnacentral:rRNA from 1 species